GGUCGAUUGGUCUAGAGGUAUGAUUCUCGCUUAGGGUAAACCCUUUGCACCAUUGCGAGAGGCCCCGCGUUCGAAUCGCGGAUCGACCC